CUGAAGUUGACCUCUGGGUCGGGAACCCCAGCAAAUAUGGCGGCGGCCAGGUGCUGGAGGCUUGUGCUCCGUGGUCGAGGGCUGUCACUGCACACCGCGGCCGAGGCCGCCGUCACGGCUCCCGAAGUGACCGGCCCAGAUGUCGCGGCGGCCCCAGUCGCGCGCUACCCGCCGCUCGUAGCCUCUCUGACUGCCGACAGCAAGGCGGCACGGCAGCGGCGAGUGGAGCGAUGGCAGGCCACGGUGCACGCGGCCAAGUCGGUGGACGAGAAGCUGCGAAUCCUCACCAAGAUGCAGUUCAUGAAGUACGUAGUUUACCCGCAGACCUUCGCCCUGAACGCCGACCGCUGGUACCAGAACUUUACCAAGACCGUAUUCCUAUCGGGCCUGCCGCCGCCGCCGCCUGCCAAGCCCGAUACCGAGCCCGCGCCGGCUCUGGACGUAGCGGCCCUGCGCGCCGCCGCCUGCGAUUGCCUACUGCAGGAGCACUUCUUUCUGCGGCGCAAGAAGCGUGUGCCUCUCUACAUGGAACGUGAGGCCAUCGCCUCGCCUUUCUUGGACCAGCUGGUUGCCUCCCUCACGGGCCUGCUGAGCGCUCACAAUCCGGCCCUGGCUGCCGCCGCCCUCGAUUGUAAACGCCCAGUUCACUUCUACUGGUUGCGUGGUGAAGAAAUUAUUCCUCGUGGUCAUCGGAAAGGUCGAGUUGAUGCUUUGAGAUACCAAAUAAAUGAUAAACCACACAACCAGAUUCGAAUAUCCAAACAACUACCCGAGUUUGUGCCGCUGGAUUAUUCUGUACCUGUAGAAGUCCCUGUCAUGAAUUGUAAGCCAGACAAACUUCCAUUAUUCAAACGGCAAUAUGAAAAUACCAUAUUUAUUGGCACAAAGACAGCAGAUCCACACUGUUAUGGACAUACCCAGUUUCAUCUGCUACCUGACAAAUUAAAAAGGGAAAGGCUCUUGAAACAAAACUGUGCCAAUCAGAUAGAAGUUGUUUUUAGAGCUAAUGCUAUUGCAAGCCUUUUUGCUUGGACCGGAGCACAGGCUAUGUAUCAAGGAUUCUGGAGUGAAGCAGACGUUACUCGACCUUUUGUCUCCCAGGGUGUGAUCACAGAUGGAAAAUACUUCUCCUUUUUCUGCUACCAGUUAAACACUUUGGCGCUGACUGCACAAGCUGAUCAAAAUAACCCUCGUAAAAACAUAUGUUGGGGGACACAAAGUACACCUAUGGAUUAGAGAGUGCUAAUGACGACAUUCUACUAAAGAAUCUUCCACUUGAGGCCUAGUGAAUGAGAAACAAUAAAGAAUAAAUUUGUGGGCUUCCCUGGUGGUGCAGCGGUUAAGAAUCUGCCUGCCAAUGCAGGGGACAUGGGUUCAAGUCCUGGUCCAGAAAGAUCCCACAUGCUACGGAGCAACUCAGCCCGUGAGCCACAACUACUGAGCCCGUGUGCCACAACUACUGAAGACCAUGCACCUAGAGCCCAUGCUCCGCAACAAGAGAAGCCAUGGCAAUGAGAAGCCUGCACACUGCAAUGA